GGCUCAAUGCGCUCUGGCUAGGCUCCUGCUACACUGCUGUCCUGGAGAGCAGCUCUGCGACCAGGGCCACUGUGGGCGCCUGUAGAUGCUGUUUAGAGACCAGAAAAUCUGCAGAUCAUAUUCUGUGGGAUAGAUUCUUUUGAAGACUUGAAAAUUCAGCGUGGACAUUUAAAACCAGCACUGUCAUUUCUGAGUAUGCUGACUGCUUUCAAUGUGAGAAAUUCCUCCAGGAAGACAAGGACUACCAAGCUCUGAGAGGACAGAAAGGAGCCUGCACUUUAAAAA